rnacentral:rRNA from 1 species
GGGGAAUAUUGGACAAUGGGCGAAAGCCUGAUCCAGCGACGCCGCGUGAGCGAUGAAGUAUUUCGGUAUGUAAAGCUCUAUCAGCAGGGAAGAAAACGACGGUACCUGACUAAGAAGCCCCGGCUAACUACGUGCCAGCAGCCGCGGUAAUACGUAGGGUGCAAGCGUUAUCCGGAAUUAUUGGGCGUAAAGGGCUCGUAGGCGGUUCGUCGCGUCCGGUGUGAAAGUCCAUCGCUUAACGGUGGAUCCGCGCCGGGUACGGGCGGGCUUGAGUGCGGUAGGGGAGACUGGAAUUCCCGGUGUAACGGUGGAAUGUGUAGAUAUCGGGAAGAACACCAAUGGCGAAGGCAGGUCUCUGGGCCGUCACUGACGCUGAGGAGCGAAAGCGUGGGGAGCGAACAGGAUUAGAUACCCUGGUAGUCCACGCCGUAAACGGUGGAUGCUGGAUGUGGGGACCAUUCCACGGUCUCCGUGUCGGAGCCAACGCGUUAAGCAUCCCGCCUGGGGAGUACGGCCGCAAGGCUAAAACUCAAAGAAAUUGACGGGGGCCCGCACAAGCGGCGGAGCAUGCGGAUUAAUUCGAUGCAACGCGAAGAACCUUACCUGGGCUUGACAUGUUCCCGACAGCCGUAGAGAUACGGUCUCCCUUCGGGGCGGGUUCACAGGUGGUGCAUGGUCGUCGUCAGCUCGUGUCGUGAGAUGUUGGGUUAAGUCCCGCAACGAGCGCAACCCUCGCCCUGUGUUGCCAGCACGUCGUGGUGGGAACUCACGGGGGACCGCCGGGGUCAACUCGGAGGAAGGUGGGGAUGACGUCAGAUCAUCAUGCCCCUUACGUCCAGGGCUUCACGCAUGCUACAAUGGCCGGUACAACGGGAUGCGACACCGCGAGGUGGAGCGGAUCCCUUAAAACCGGUCUCAGUUCGGAUUGGAGUCUGCAACCCGACUCCAUGAAGGCGGAGUCGCUAGUAAUCGCGGAUCAGCAACGCCGCGGUGAAUGCGUUCCCG